CUGACAAAUUUUCAGUCUGCCCAAGUACCCACAAGAAUGGUGCAACUUCACCAGCAAGUACUCAGAAUCACAUCCUGCCUUUGCAUGGUUGAAGUGCAAGGAGGAUACAAACUGUGAAAGUCUUCUAAGAGCACAUAAGAUACUGACAAGAGGCGGAGAGCGUUUCGGAGUUGGCCAAGAGUACGCCAGGAUUAGCUUGCUCAGUAGAGAACGAGAUUUUAACCAAUUUCUAGAGAGGCUAUCAGGAAUAAAAACUGCGGGGCAGGGAAUCAGAACCACCUGAAUUUUAGACAUAUUAAGAGGGCAUGGAAUCCUAUGUGCCAGGGCAUGAGUGAAGAUUGAGCAUAAACAAGUUUUUUGAUGAGGCUACAGUGGUGGAGCUGGCUUAGCAGGUAGCUGAUGAUAUUCAUUAACAAAUGAUAUGAGGUUCCCAUAUGGUUGAUAUUUUGUCAUUUUCUAGCCAGAAAGAUGUGAACGAAC